GACGAACGCUGGCGGCGUGCUUAACACAUGCAAGUCGAACGGAGAACCAGGGCGCUUGCUCCCUCCGGGUCAGGGGCGCACGUGUGAGUAACACGUGUGCAAUCCGCUCCGAACUCGGGGAUAAGCGUUGGAAACGACGUCUAAUACCGGAUACGACGCGGGAGCGCAUCCUGUCUGCGUGGAAUGCGCGUCGGUUGGGGAUGGGCUCGCGGCUUAUCAGCUUGUUGGUGGGGUAGCGGCUCACCAAGGCGGCGACGGGUAGCCGGCCUGAGAGGGUGACCGGCCACACUGGGACUGAGACACGGCCCAGACUCCUACGGGAGGCAGCAGUGGGGAAUAUUGCACAAUGGGCGCAAGCCUGAUGCAGCAACGCCGCGUGAGGGAUGACGGCCUUCGGGUUGUAAACCGCUUUUAGCAGGGACGAAGCGAAAGUGACGGUACCUGCAGAAAAAGCACCGGCUAACUACGUG
rnacentral:rRNA from 1 species